UACGUAGGGGGCAAGCGUUGUCCGGAUUUAUUGGGCGUAAAGAGCGUGUAGGCGGCCAGAUAGGUCAGCUGUGAAAACUCGGGGCUCAACCCUGAGACGUCGGUUGAAACCAUCUGGCUAGAGUCCGGAAGAGGAGAGUGGAAUUCCUGGUGUAGCGGUGAAAUGCGCAGAUAUCAGGAAGAACACCCGUGGCGAAAGCGGCUCUCUGGGACGGUACUGACGCUGAGACGCGAAAGCGUGGGGAGCGAACAGG
rnacentral:rRNA from 1 species